rnacentral:lncRNA from 1 species
ACUGCUGUAGCUUCAGGGCAGAAGAGCCACAGAGCCAAAUGCUGCAGAGAUGAAGGGAGACGGAAAGAGCCAAAUGCUGCAGAGAUCAAGGGAGACGGAAGGAUGUCGCCUCCAGAGCUGGGGCCACGGGCAGCGCCAGGGCAGGUUCAUCACUGAUGGCAAGUCUGUGGCUGACCACGUUCACAGGGGUGGCCCUGAGCAAAGGUCGGACAUGAGGACCCAGGAGAAUUCAGGCCCCGGCUCUGGGACGGCUGUGCACCCCCACCCUGGCCGUGGCUGGCACCUCAGAAGGCACAGCUGUCCUUCACUCGCACGGAGCAACCUCGGGACAGAUGGUGGGAGAGGAAGGGCAACUCGAGGAGGCACAUUUUAGGAAACUGCCCACGGAGCCAGUUUCGAUUCUCCAAACCUCGUCAGCAUGCAGAGGCUCCCUGACUCGGCAGCAAGGAGGGCCUCAUCAGCCGACCCCCAUGCCCGGCACCCCCUUCACCAGUGGGUAAACUAUGCUCGCCACCACUCAGCACUCACCUCUUGGGCUCAGAGGGCAGAAAGUCUGACCCUUCUCUCUUAAAAGCAGGGUCCUGAAAACUCCAGAGAGCAGUGCCCUGUGCAUUAAACACAGACUGCGCCCUUGUACUCAGGUAUGACCAUUUGUCCUGGACAAAAAUUAAACUGAUGAGGGAACAAAAUAGGGCCUUAUAGAAGGUGAGUGGAAAAGCAGGGAAGGCAAACCCCCAAAUUCAGGAGGGAGGAUGGAAUUGGCCUGGGGAGCAGAGGCAGGAGGUUCUGUGGACAGGGCUGGUGGAGCUCUGGGGGGAGCAGAGGCAGGAGGUUUUGUGGACAUGGUUGAUGGACCUCUGCGGGGAGAAGACGGAGGAGAUUUUGUGGACAGGGCUGGUGGAGCUCUGCGGGGAGCAGACACAGGAGGUUCUGUGGACAGGGCUGGUGGAGCUCUGGCCACUUCCUCCGUAAACUAGAGACGUGAUCCCCAGGGCCAGGUCUGUCUCUGAGGUCCUACCAGCUGGGACAGGUAAGAGGCUGGGGAAGGAGGAGCGUGUGUGUGUGCGCGUGUGUGUGUACAGGAGCAUAUUCAAUGAGCACAUAGGUCAAGGCUGCUGAUGGGGAAGGCAAGCCCCUCGUGGAGAGGGUGGGCAUCCACCCAGGAGCCCGCCCAGAAGUGUUCAGUUCUAUCGACAUGAAAUUUCCAUUUCUCCUUCCCUGCUGGACCUUGGGUGCCCUAGAGGGUCCCUACAUCCUCCUCCUUCCCUCCCUUCCUGAUGCCCACACAGAGCCUGCUGCAAAGUAGGUGCUCAGGGAAUAUCCAUUUAAUUCAACUGUAUUUCAUCAGAGAGAUGUGGCUUUCCCAGACAAGGAAGAAUUCAGAAAACAGCCCAGACAUGCUCAGAGCAGACAGCUGGACUCUAACCAGGCUCUGCGACUUGCUGACUCACAGGCCGUUUGUCCCUCAAGAUUCCCCACGGGGUAGUCGGCCUCAAGGCAGCUCCACCUGACGGCUGAGCUCGCUCCUUGCUGAGGGGCUGGUGCCCCCAGGAGCCUCCUCUGGGAAGCUGAGACCUCCUGGUGCCACCUCGACCCCGCCGGGCGACACACGCUGAGCAGAGGCAGCACUCGGGCUGGCCGGCCCAGCAGGCAGAUGUUCCGGAACCCUUGUAAAACCCCGCAGUACAGGGACUAGGAGGACCCGAGGGGUACAGGGAACGGAACAGGAGUUGCCGGUGAUAAUUUCCCGAAAAAUUCCUAGGGGACAGAGGCUCAUCAGCCCCAGGCAACUUCCUGAGACAGAUCGGUAAAAACAACCCCUUCUUCCAGGAGGAUGCAAUUCUCUCUCUAAAGUCGAGAGCUCACCACCCCGGGCGUUCGUCACUGCAGACAUCACUGCAGACACAGAGACGGCCAUUAGAGCUCACCACCCCGGGCGUUCGUCACUGCAGACAUCACUGCAGACACAGAGAAGGCCAUUAGAGCUCACCACCCCGGGCGUUCGUCACUGCAGACAUCACUGCAGACACAGAGACGGCCAUUAUGCAGCCUCACGUGGUCACUCCUGGGGGCGGUAGGAUAUUUUAUCCUAAAGAGAAAACACCUUAAAUUCUCACAUCAGCCACCCCCAUGGCGACUCUUAACACCUUAAUGUAGCACCUUCCAACUUUUCCUGGGCAUUUAUGUACAAAUUGUAAUAAAAUUGGGUUCUUACUGCAUACGCUGCUUGCUGGUUUCUAAAUAAAAUUGGGUUCUUACU